GGCUUCGCAAACAAGAACAAAUGUAGGGCGGGGCUCGAUUUUGUCUGUGGGGAAUUGAUUGGAUGGUUGUGGUUUGCUAUUGGUGGAUCUCAUGCGAGUGACAGGUUGCCCCGCCCUCAUCAUCAGAGAAGAGAAGAGAUGCUGCAAGAGGGAGGAGAAGAUAUUCUGAUUCGAGAUUACCAGGAACAUGAAUUUAAAACAAUAAUGAUGAUGUGCAGUGAUAAAUCAUACUGCAAUAUAUGACAUUAAAAAAAAAUUGGUUUCAUGGUGACUUUAACCCUUGUGUGUCAUAAAAACGUGUAGCUUGGGAGCACAGACUUAAGUUUGGUCUCAUUUUAAAGAACACAGAUUAUUGUUGAAGUAAAAAAAUUUUUUAAAAAGUUUAUGAAAAUGAUUUAUGAACAUUAUUUUAUGUAAAAUAUUUAUUGUAAAACACAAACUCUAAAACUGCUAGAAAAUCAAAGCCAUAAAUCUAAACAAGUUGUGUUCCAAAUUUGGGGUUGAUAUCUCACCUUCAGUAAGAUUUUGUUUGGGCGCAGUACCAAAUUUUCUCCAUUAGAUGCCAGUGGUUGGAUUUGUGAUUUGCAGUACAGUAGAGUUUUUCUCUCUCAAAUAUUACAAGCUAUACACACAUAUAAACCACACUCUGACAUCCACACCAACACACCUACACAAUUAUAGCUGCAUAAUUUAUCAAAUUGGCUCUAUAAUAUGCAGAAGCAGAAAACAAGAAUAAAGCGAGUAUUUGCUUUAUAGAAAAUUGCACCAUUUGGUAGAAAAUAAUAAAAAUGUUCAUUUCGAAGCCUUGCCAUCAGAAUGAAAGCCUGUUAACAAAGAACGUUUUAUAGUUAAAUGGCCCUGGGAUUAAACAUUGCAGUUUUAAUGGGUUUCAAUGGGGACAUUUUUGUCAUCAAGGUCCUGAGAGGAACAAUUUUGUGUUACUAGUGUAAAAUAGAUUUAUUAAAGGAAAUGGGGGUGAAAUAGUAAAAUUCCAAUAAAAAUACACACCUGUACCAAAUUUUAUGUAGUUGGCAUUAACACAGGCAAAAUGAUCAAAAAAAUUAAACUGAAAAAGACAAAAUGUCCAUAAGGUCACACAAGGGUUAAGUCCAAAUGAAUUAGACUAGAAUUAUAAAUACAGAAUAACUCCAUUCUGCUAAUUAAUACACAACAAUCCUGCACUUCCUGUGUGUGUGAAGGGCUGAGCUGGACAGUGUUCUGCGUGGGAGGUGGAGUCUGACCGCCAACUACAGAGAAAGCAGCGGGAGACUCCGAGCGACCAAUCACAGUGUGACUUUUAAUGAGACUUGGAGUGCAGGAAGUGGGUUACCAUGACAACAGCAAGGUAAAGCAGCGGAUAGAUCACUAUAGAUGCCAACUCACUGAGGCUGGCGGAGGAUAUGGACUCAAGCAGAGUUACUUGAAUGCCAUCAAAUUGUGGAAAUAAAUGGAUUUGGGCUUUCUGA